UACGUAGGGUGCGAGCGUUAAUCGGAAUUACUGGGCGUAAAGCGCGUGUAGGCGGUUGCCCAAGUCGGGUGUGAAAGCCUUGAGCUCAACUCAAGAAAUGCACUCGGUACUGGGUGACUAGAGGACCGGAGAGGAUAGUGGAAUUCCCAGUGUAGUGGCGAAAUACGUAGAGAUUGGGAAGAACACCAGUGGCGAAGGCGGCUAUCUGGACGGUUUCUGACGCUAAGACGCGAAAGCGUGGGGAGCAAACAGG
rnacentral:rRNA from 1 species